rnacentral:rRNA from 1 species
AUUGAACGCUGGCGGCAGGCCUAACACAUGCAAGUCGAGCGGAAGAAGGGAGCUUGCUCCUGGAUUCAGCGGCGGACGGGUGAGUAAUGCCUAGGAAUCUGCCUGGUAGUGGGGGAUAACGUCCGGAAACGGGCGCUAAUACCGCAUACGUCCUGAGGGAGAAAGUGGGGGAUCUUCGGACCUCACGCUAUCAGAUGAGCCUAGGUCGGAUUAGCUAGUUGGUGGGGUAAAGGCCUACCAAGGCGACGAUCCGUAACUGGUCUGAGAGGAUGAUCAGUCACACUGGAACUGAGACACGGUCCAGACUCCUACGGGAGGCAGCAGUGGGGAAUAUUGGACAAUGGGCGAAAGCCUGAUCCAGCCAUGCCGCGUGUGUGAAGAAGGUCUUCGGAUUGUAAAGCACUUUAGGUUGGAAGGAAGAGCAGUAAGUUAAUACCUUGCUGUUUUGACGUUACCAACAGAAUAAGCACCGGCUAACUUCGUG